rnacentral:rRNA from 1 species
UACAGAGGGUGCAAGCGUUGUCCGGAUUUAUUGGGCGUAAAGCGUCUGUAGGUCGUUUGUUAAGUCUGAAGUGAAAGAAUGGAGCUCAACUCCAUACCCGCUUUGGAAACUGGCAGACUAGAGAAUGUUAGAGGUAAGUGGAAUUCCUAGUGUAGCGGUGAAAUGCGUAGAUAUUAGGAAGAACACCAGAGGCGAAGGCGGCUUACUGGGACAUUUCUGACACUGAGAGACGAAAGCUUGGGGAGCAAAAGGGAUUAGAUACCCCUGUAGUCCAAGCCGUAAACGAUGAGUACUAGUCGUCAUGGGAAUCGACCCCCGUGGUGACGUAGCUAACGCGUUAAGUACUCCGCCUGGGAAGUAUGCACGCAAGUGUGAAACUCAAAGGAAUUGACGGGGACCCGCACAAGCGGUGGAACAUGUGGUUUAAUUCGAUGCAACGCGAAAAACCUUACCUGGACUUGACAUCUGAGGAAGAAGUUGGAGACGACUUUGUGCCUUCGGGAACCUCAAGACAGAUGCUGCACGGCUGUCGUCAGCUCGUGUCGUGAGAUGUUGGGUUAAGUCCCGCAACGAGCGCAACCCACGUUGUUAGUUGCCAUCAUUAAGUUGGGCACUCUAGCAAGACUGCCGGUGUUAAACCGGAGGAAGGUGUGGACGACGUCAAGUCAUCAUGGCCCUUACGACCUGGGCUACACACGUGCUACAAUGGCCGGUACAGAGGGCAGCGAAGUCGCGAGGCGGAGCGAAUCCUUUAAAACCGGUCGUAGUCCGGAUCGGAGUCUGCAACUCGACUCCGUGAAGUCGGAAUCGCUAGUAAUCGCGAAUCAGAAUGUCGCGGUGAAUACGUUCCCGGGCCU